rnacentral:rRNA from 1 species
GAACGAAAGGGAAUACGGUUCCAAUUCCGUAACCUGUUAAGUAUACGUUUGUUAUUAAAAAAUGGGCUUUAAUGCUCAUCGUGGCAACACAAACAAUCAUAAAGAAACCGUCGAGAGGUAUCGGAAGAGUUUUCUUUUCUGUUUUAUAGUUGUAUUACCAUGGAAGUCUUUCGAAGAGAGAUAUGGUAAAUGAACUAGAAGAGCAUAGCAUAUACUGCUGUGUCGAUAUUUUCUCCUCGGGCCUUGAAAAUUUAUGGUAGGGUUACGCAAACUUCUUAACAGGCCGUACCAAUAUCCGCAGCUGGNCUCCA